CAAUAUUUACAUUGGAAGAGGUAUGUUUAGAGUCUUGCUACGUUACCUGUGUAUAUAUGCCUAUCCUUUCCUGCAUUCACGUGAAUUGUGGUUCAAUUGAAACAAGCCAUUUUGGUUUAUGUUGUUGUCUUAGUUGCUGGAAUUAAUGAGACCAUAUAUAAUAUUGAUUCCUUAACGCUUUGACUGACUAAUAAAAGUUGAUUGUGGCAAAGGCUUUUUCUUUAUUAAUAAGAAUCUGAUGCAAUUAUUAAUUGUAGACAAUGAAAGAUAAUUAUAAUCCUGAAUUGUUAUGGUUACUAUGUCUAUGUUUGUGUUGCCAGUGUGAUAUCAGCUUCCUAGACGUUACAAGUUUACAAUUAUAAGCAGUGCUGCCAUUAAAGGUGUGAUUACCUUUGUAUAGUAUCUGGAUUUGAAGAAUUAAUGAUCUUUAAAGGUCGUGGCUUAGGCUCUGCAUUUGGGAAAACAUGGCCAAUGUAUCUCGGUUAUUUUCUGUUCUUUUCAUGCAGCAUCUAUAAUAUUUGUUGCUGUCGGACCCUGAUCUUAGUAACCAGUUAUGAGACAUGUCAAAAUUGUUAACAUCAUACUUGAAAUUGGUUUUGCAAAAAAAGAAAAGAAAAGAAAAAACUCUGUUGCAAAUGAUAGAAGAAUUAAUAGUGAGUACUAAUUAAAGGGUGUGGCUUAUCUCUAUGUUCCAUUGAUCUUUAGCCUUCGGCCUUGCAAUUUGGAAAAGGUGGAAUGGUUAUUUUAGAUGUGUGAUGUCCUGAUAGUCCAGGAGGCAGUGUUGAAACUGAAGGAGCAUUACAUUAAUCAUCAAAAACACUUGGUUUCUGUGGCAAAAUAUAGCACAUGACCAAAGAGUGUUACACCUUGAAUGAUAAGAAUUGCCCUUACUGCCAUGGCCAGAUUUGGAAAUGGCAGAAACGAAGUUCCCAUUUUAUAGUGACUACUGAUCAAUAGUUUCAUAUAUAAUAUGAUACUUGAGACAAAUGAAGUGCUACAUACCCAUGUCACUUUUCAUUUUUUGUCUAAUAAUUGGGAUGGCUAUGGCAAUUACAAUGGUGCCAGAGUGAAAAGGGCGAAGAUUGGCCCAAGAUAUGAUAUGCCAAAUCAAAAUCAUUCAAUUCCCUCUCAGGUAAUUUUCUGCAAAAUCUAGUGCCCUGUUGUCAUUGUUAAUCAAAUAUUGAUUAUGUAUGUGCUUGUACUGGAGGUAAGCAUGGUCCCAUGGCUGACCAACAGGGGAACAUUUUUGAUUUUAGAGUGCCAUUGCUUAUGUCGUUUUGAAUUAGUGUCUUGUAACUUGGCCAGCAUGCUCUGUUUCUUUUCCAAAUGUAGUGAAUUUCUAUGCCAGUGCUUUGCUAAUGUUUGGCUGAAGAUAAACAAUGGAGGUACUAGCAUUGAAUUUCUACUUUCCACUUUUAUGUGCCAACUUCUGGAUCCUCUUUUGAUCAAAGGCUCAAAGCAUCUCUGGUUGUUAUGCAAUACUGCCAGCCUGCAACUGAAGGUAUUUCCAUUUUGAAGUCAUUUUGCAUAUAAUCUGAAAGUGAAGAAUGACCUUAAGGGCCAACUUGUCUACUGUCUCAGGAGCAAUAAAGUAAUUGGCAAUAACUUCAGAGUUAUGUGGGGGAAAAACAUAUGGCAUAUGGCUAACAGUAUUGCAUCUUCAUAUGGUCCCGUGAGAUUCUUAAUUUCCAGUUUCCAGGUCAUCAGUUGCAUAUAUUUACUUCUAAUUAUGGAUGUAGGUUGUGGAGAGCACCUGUGGAUUCACUUACUCUUACAAUAGUAGACAUGCUCAGUGAAUAAGUUAAAGUAAAUCAAAGCAGGUCCUGAGCCUUUGUUCUCUGUUAAUUAUAUGCAGCAUCUCAGCAAGGAAAAUUUCUAUUCUAGGUCAACUUUAGGCUGUUGUUGAUGCUGCUUCUGCUAGCAUCCUCAUUAUCACCACAAAGUGUUCUUCAAGACUUGGUUGGUUUCAACAUGUCACUAAAUGUUGUUAGAAAACUAGUUCUGUUGAUGUAAUGACUUUAUUGGAUAUAUGGAUGAA